GCUUCAAGCUCAUAGUGAACAGGGAAAGAUAGGGGGAGAAAACUCUAACUUGCUAUCUUUACUUGUUCCAGUUUCACUAUCAACAACUCUCAAUUUUUGCAUGUGUGGCUUUGCCAUACUGAUUAGAUAAUCACAUUCUUCUUUGAUCU